rnacentral:rRNA from 1 species
UACGUAGGGUGCGAGCGUUGUCCGGAAUUAUUGGGCGUAAAGAGCUUGUAGGUGGUUUGUCGCGUCUGCUGUGAAAAUCCGAGGCUCAACCUCGAGACGUCGAUGGAAACCAUCUGGCUAGAGUCCGGAAGAGGAGAGUGGAAUUCCUGGUGUAGCGGUGAAAUGCGCAGAUAUCAGGAAGAACACCCGUGGCGAAGGCGGCUCUCUGGUACGUGACUGACGCUGAGACGCGAAAGCGUGGGGAGCAAACAGG